CACGUAGGGGGCGAGCGUUGUCCGGAUUUAUUGGGCGUAAAGAGCUCGUAGGCGGUUUCGUAAGUCGGGUGUGAAAACUUCAGGCUCAACCUGGAGACGCCACCUGAGACUGCGAUGACUAGAGUCCGGUAGGGGAGUGUGGAAUUCCUGGUGUAGCGGUGAAAUGCGCAGAUAUCAGGAGGAACACCAACGGCGAAGGCAGCACUCUGGGCCGGAACUGACGCUGAGGAGCGAAAGCGUGGGUAGCGAACAGG
rnacentral:rRNA from 1 species